rnacentral:rRNA from 1 species
GGGAUGACGGCCUUCGGGUUGUAAACCUCUUUCGCAGGGACGAAGCGAAAGUGACGGUACCUGCAGAAGAAGGACCGGCCAACUACGUGCCAGCAGCCG